rnacentral:rRNA from 1 species
UGGGGAAUUUUGGACAAUGGGCGAAAGCCUGAUCCAGCCAUGCCGCGUGAGUGAAGAAGGCCUUCGGGUUGUAAAGCUCUUUUAGUCGGAAAGAAAGAGUUGCAAUGAAUAAUUGUGAUUUAUGACGGUACCGACAGAAAAAGCACCGGCUAACUACGUGCCAGCAGCCGCGGUAAUACGUAGGGUGCGAGCGUUAAUCGGAAUUACUGGGCGUAAAGGGUGCGCAGGCGGUCUUGCAAGUCAGAUGUGAAAGCCCCGGGCUUAACCUGGGAAUUGCGUAUGAAACUACAAGGCUAGAGUGCAGCAGAGGGGAGUGGAAUUCCAUGUGUAGCAGUGAAAUGCGUAGAGAUGUGGAAGAACACCGAUGGUGAAGGCAGCUCCCUGGGUUGACACUGACGCUCAUGCACGAAAGCGUGGGGAGCAAACA